AUACUUACCUGUCAGGGAGAUACCAUGAUCACAAAGGUGGCUUUCCCAGGGCGAGGCUUAUCCACUGCACUCCAGAUGUGCUGACUCCUGCGAUUUCCCCAAAUGCAGGAAAUUCGACUGCAUAAUUUGUGGUAAUGGGGGACUGCAUUCACGCUCUCCCCUG
rnacentral:snRNA from 1 species